rnacentral:rRNA from 1 species
GGCGACCGCUAUUGGAGUUCGAUUAAGCCAUGCGAGUCGAGAGGGUUCGGCCCUCGGCAUACUGCUCAGUAACACGUGGAUAACCUGCCCUAUGCCCGAGGAUAACCUCGGGAAACUGAGAAUAAUACUCGAUAUUCCACAACGCCUGGAACGGUGUGUGGAUUAAAGGUAACGGCAUAGGAUGGGUCUGCGGCGUAUCAGGUCGUAGGGGGUGUAAUGGACCUCCUAGCCAUUGACGCGUACGGGUUGUGGGAGCAAUAGCCCGGAGAUGGAUUCUGAGACACGAAUCCAGACCCUACGGGGUGCAGCAGGCGCGAAAACUUCACACUGCAGGAAACUGUGAUGAGGGAACUCCAAGUGCAUGCACUAUGUGUAUGCUUUUCUUAACUUUUAAUCGGUUUUGGGAUAAGGGCUGGGAAAGACCGGUGCCAGCCGCCGCGGUAAUACCGGCAGCUCAAGUGGUCGUCGCUUUUAUUGGGCCUAAAACGUCCGUAGCCUGUUUAGUAAAUUCGUGGGUAAAUCAACCAGCUUAACUGGUUGAAUUCUGCAAAGACUGCUAGACUAGGGACCGGGAGAGGUGUGAGGUACUCUGGGGGUAGAGGUAAAAUUCUGUCAUCCUUGGAGGACCACCAGUUGCGAAGGCGUCACACUAGAACGGAUCCGACGGUCAGGGACGAAGCCUAGGGGCACGAACCGGAUUAGAUACCCGGGUAGUCCUAGGUGUAAACGCUGUGAACUUGGUGUCGGGAUUCCGUCAGGGGACCUCGGUGCCGAAGUGAAGAUGUUAAGUUCACUGCCUGGGGAGUACGGUCGCAAGGCUGAAACUUAAAGGAAUUGGCGGGGGAGCACUGCAACGGGAGGAGCGUGCGGUUU